GAUGAACGCUAGCGGCAGGCCUAAUACAUGCAAGUCGAACGGUGUCUUCGGACAUAGUGGCGCACGGGUGCGUAACACGUAUGCAACCUACCUUACAUUGGGGGAUAGCCUUUCGAAAGGGAGAUUAAUACCGCAUAAGACAGUAGCUGGGCAUCCAGCAGCUGUUAAAGAUUUAUCGAUGUAAGCUGGGCAUGCGUCCAAUUAGCUAGUUGGUGAGGUAACGGCUCACCAAGGCAAUGAUUGGUAGGGGAACUGAGAGGUCAAUCCCCCACACUGGCACUGGGAUACGGGCCAGACUCCUACGGGAGGCAGCAGUAGGGAAUAUUGGGCAAUGGACGCAAGUCUCACCCAGCCAUGCCGCGUGCAGGAUGAAGGCGUUAUUCGUUGUAAACUGCUUUUAUACAGGAAGAAACGACUCUUGCGAGAGGCAUUGACGGUACUGUAUGAAUAAGCACCGGCUAACUCCGUGCCAGCAGCCGCCGUAAGAC
rnacentral:rRNA from 1 species